UCAAACUCAUUAGUAAACAAGUCAACAGUCAAAAUCAAAAGAUAAUGAACCAAUAGUCGACCACAGAGGGACCAAUUGUGCAAGGCACAAAGACUCAAGCAUAUGAGUCAACCUACAAAACAAGGGUUAGCACAUUUAACAAUCAAGCUAAAACACAUUUAAAUGAUCCUCAAGGCAUUGGUGCUUAACCUGAAACAGAUGAACUCAACAUAAGCUUAGAAGACCACUAGGACUAGCCUAGGGUCAAAGAUGAAAGAAAA
rnacentral:lncRNA from 1 species